UACGUAGGGGGCAAGCGUUAUCCGGAUUUACUGGGUGUAAAGGGAGCGUAGACGGAUGGACAAGUCUGAUGUGAAAGGCUGGGGCUCAACCCCGGGACUGCAUUGGAAACUGCCCGUCUUGAGUGCCGGAGAGGUAAACGGAAUUCCUAGUGUAGCGGUGAAAUGCUUAGAUAUCACGAAGAACUCCGAUUGCGAAGGCAGCCUGCUAAGCUGCAACUGACAUUGAGGCUCGAAAGUGUGGGUAUCAAACAGG
rnacentral:rRNA from 1 species